CCGGCCUGUGGAUCGGCCCUCGUUGAGUCCAUGCCGGGGAGCGAAAUGGCUUCGUCGAUGAUAUUGCACCUGCCUCUUAGCAGCCGCAGCCAUGGACCCCAGCCAUUACUGGCAGGGGAAAUAAAUAAAUUAAUAAAUAGCGGGCUGCCGGUGCUGCUGGCCAGGCUCGGGCGUUGAUGGUGAUGUCUCCCUAUGGGAGAGGCUCUCCCUGCUGUUCAGAUGGAGGAGCCAGCUGACCGACUCUGGCUGACGUCACACCGUCUGCAUCAAGCAAGCGGACUCAUUACGUCAAGCCAGAGAGACUAUACCGGAAGCCAGCUUCACGAUUUCAAAAUAAAGAUGAUUUAAAUUGUUACUUUAUGCAGCUUUCCAAUGAUGGCACAAAGGCACAUUACUCACUCACUCCACCGAUAUUGCGCAUUAAAGGCCAGUUCACUUGUCACGAUAUAGCCUACUGCUCACCCUGUGUCAGCUGCUCUGGUGGGAGCUUUCUAAAGUCUGAGAAAGUAACCCUAGUGCUUUCAUCCCGUUUAUCUGUUUGAGUUUGGAGACAACACAUUUAUGACAAAAUCUGUGUGACAAACUGAGGGUGUAGAGUUUGAAACAGAUGGGCAUUUCCCAGACAGGGAGGGUCAAACAAAAAAAUGCUAUUGGUUGCAUUAUGGGAAAUGUAGGAUUCAGAGUUUCUGAAGCUUGACCCAUACUAGGGACUAAAAAGAUAUUUCAGCCUUCGCUACUUCAGCUUUGACAGUUUUUUCCCAUUCUUUCUUCUUUAAAUUUGUCUCUUUUGUGUGUUCCAAUGUCAAUUAAGUGCAGUGCUUACUUGCUGGAGUGCCCCUUUAAAUAAACAGUUCAGUCAUUUCAAUGUUUAAAAUACUAGUUUUAUGAUGUAAGCUCUCUAUCCUUAAACACUACUUUAUUCUUAGUGAGCUCUUUUAUGAAAUCUCUUAAUCUUGUAGACAUUAGAAAAUAAUCACAUUCCUUUUUUUAACAAGUUUUCAUUCUUAAGAUCUAACUUAAUUGAUUUGUUCAGUGCUCAAAUAUUCUGGUUCAGAUGACAAAUUUUAGGUCUGGGAUGUCACAGUUUGUUAAUCUUCUUCCCCAUGCCGUUUCAAAUUGGGAUAGUUUGAACUUCUCUAUACUGUCUGAAAAAUAUGGAAAUAUGCUGAAACCACACAAAUCUGAUCAGGACAUUAUAUUUUUCUCAUUUACAUGUUCUGUUAUAUUUUCUGCAAAUGUUGUUUCCCUAAAUAGUGAUCUAAAUAUCAAAUUCCCAUAAACAAUAGGCCUACUGAGGA